AUUCCGUGAUGAGGGCACUUCCGUAAUAAUUCUCUGUACCUUUCCCAUGCCUCAUACAAUGACUCAUCAUCCAUUUGUUGGAAAGCAGUGAUCUCAUUCCUCAACUU
rnacentral:snoRNA from 1 species